AUUGAACGCUGGCGGCAGGCCUAACACAUGCAAGUCGAACGAGUGGCGGACGGGUGAGUAAUGUCUGGGAAACUGCCCGAUGGAGGGGGAUAACUACUGGAAACGGUAGCUAAUACCGCAUACCAUCGGAUGUUCCCAGAUGGGAUUAGCUUGUAGGUGAGGUAACGGCUCACCUAGGCGACGAUCCCUAGCUGGUCUGAGAGGAUGACCAGACACGCUGGAAAUGAGACACGGUACAGAAUCGUACGGGAGGCAGCAGUGGGGAAUAUUGCGAAAGGGGCGCAAGCCGGAGGCAGCAAGGCCGGGUGUAUGAAGAAGGCCUUCGGGGUGUAAAGUACUUUCAGCGGGGAGGCGUUACCCGCAGAAGAAGCACCGGCUAACUCCGGGCCAGCAGCCGCGGUAAUAC
rnacentral:rRNA from 1 species